GUAUCAUCACGUCAGAUAAUCCAUAAUUGCCCCUGGCUAAUUUUAUCGUAAAUUGUUGACAAGCCGAUUAAAUACCGCUUGGAACUAGCUUUAAAUAUUCGGAAUCUAAAGGGAGUAAAGCGAGUAACCAUUGUUGUCAUAACUGAGGAUAGGACGCUCACGAAACCAGUUUCAAGAUGAUUGCUGUUAUAAAAAGAAUGGGGCUCGUGGUCACGUGCCUUGCCCUUCUUGUGCUGCCGUUGACCACAGCAGGGGUGUACUUCCCACGUGAUUCGGAUGCAGACGACAUAAGCAUGUUCCCGCCUAAAUUGUCUACUGCCGACCGCUUUCUUGACCUUUCUUCCAACGUAGAAAGCCGAAGUCGUCCGAAGACGCCCGAAAUCAGUUUUUCAGAUGAAAACCUGCAGAUUAAACGUCAGAACUCGGUAGGCUGUCGCGGUUGUUCCUCCUUCGACGUACAUCUUUGCGAGAUCGGAUGUAUCUUGAACAGCGGACCGGGGAGCAGCGGACCCGAUUCCCAGUGCUUAGACGAGUGUGCUGAAACCUUUAUAAGGUGUGUCGGCUGCCUUAACAAAACGUCUUGACUGUGUAUAAAAUAUAAUUAAGCGGCAUUCUGAGACUGAGACUUUAAGCUCGGUGCGUACGAUAUUAAUUAACCCAUUCAUGCCUAGCGUCCUGAAAAAAAUGACAUUGCAAACAGCGUAAACCCAGAUGGGUGUACGCUGUUUGCUUAAAGGAAUUUCUGUAAGAAUUGUUCUAAAUAUAGAAAUAAAUAUACUAGACAUC